ACAUCUUCACACACACUAUGUAUAUAUGUAUACGUAUACUUAUAUAUAUAUAUGUAUAUGUAUAUGUGUGUAUAGUGUGAAUUCCUAGACUGUUCAUUAAAUUAUUAUUAUCGUCAUUAUUAUUAUUAUUAUUAUUAUUAUGGUUUUUGAGAUAGGAUUUCUCUGCCCUGACUGUCCUGGAACUCACUCUGUAGACCAGGCUAGCCUCAACUUAGAGAUCCACCUACCUCUGCCCCUCAAGUGCUGGGAUUAAAGGCCUCUGCACCUCAUCCAGCUUUCUAAACUCCUAAGAAACUCUUUAUAACAUUUGAUUAAAGCAAUUGUCCUUUUUGGGUUGUAGCUGUAGCAUGGUAGAUGGCUUUCAUAGUACAUGCAAGGCCCUGCAUUCAAGUUCUAGUACCGAAGAAGGAAAUAUUUUAUUAGCUUAAUAAUUUGUAUCUGUUUUAUGCCUGCUCCCAACAUCAAGGAACUAAAGAGGUUUAUAAUCAAAAUACAUACAUAGCAAGGAUAUGAAAGUUGGAUACAAAAAUGGGAAAUUAUGGACAGAGGAGAGAAAUAAUACUAUUUAGGUGAAUGAAGCUCAUGUAUUCAUUCAUCCACGUCAUUCAUUCCAAUAAACUUGUUGACCUAUGUGCUAAGUAUUUAGAUCAUUAUGGUCAACAAAACAGCAUUUGAGUGAAGAAGAAAGCAUCAAUCAUGCAUAUGGCUACAAAAGAAAACAGUAGGACUGGAGAGAUGGCUCAGUGGUUAAGAGCAGUGACUGCUCUUCCAGAGGUCCUGAGUUCAAAUCCCAGCAACCACAUGGUGGCUCACAACCAUUUGUAAUGAGAUCUGAUGCCCUCUUCUGGUGUAUCUGAAGACAGCUACAGUGAAUAUAAUAAAUAAAUAAAUCUUUAAAAAAAAAAAAACCAAACAAACAGUAGACUAUUCCUAGGUAGACUGAUGCUGUAGGGUGAGGUAAGCCAAGACUGACUGAUGGUCAAGGAAGCCAUCCUAGAAAGAUCAACCAUGCAGCCCUUAAGGGUCAGCUGAUAUUAGUCACAUGGGAGACACAUUGGAAACAUGAAAAAAAAAGGGGGAUGGCAAGAAUGGAGCCCAGGGGAGCCUGGUGAUUGACGAGGACCUAUGUCCUCGAGGAGGGGUCAUGGUGCUGGAACUGUGGGUCAUUGUUACAGCCUGAAUUGUGUCCCUUAAGAAGAGAUGCUAAAAUCCAAACCCCAAUACCGUAAAAUGUGGCCUCAUUUGUAGGAAGGCUCUUCAUAUAGGUAGCGAAGUUACCACGUGGUCCUUAGAGUGGGAUCUAAUUCAGUAUUGCUUCAGUUCCUAUAGAAAAUGGGGAUUUGGGGCAGAGAGCUGGGCAUAGAGAGAAUGUCUCAUGAGGUAAUGCCCAUUGACAAAUCAAGGACAGACACUUGGAAAAGGUCCAUCUCUCCCAGAAAGAAUGGAGUCCAAUGUUGUGGAGAUCACUCUGACCUGCAUAGCAGGGGCAAUUUUUGCUAUCACAGCACCUUUAAGAGAGACCUGUGCUGAGAAAUGAAAAACUAUGUCACUGGCUGACGGCAUGAGUUGAUUUACAUCAUCAGUCACGUCUAGGGGUUGGGUCUGUGUUUUUUGCCUUUAUAAGCCUGCUGUUUUGCCAUAAAGUUGAGCCUGGGUCAGAACUUUGCCUUGGCUCCAUUCUCCUCUUGUCCCUGUCUUUUAAUUUCCAAACUCCCAUUCGAGGUACCUACGUUGACUGGUGGUCCCUGGUUGACUACACAAUGUCACCUUGAUUUUGAACUUGUGUCCAGGGUCAUCAGAAAAUAAAUGUAGGUAUUUUAAAGUCACCAAUUGUACAGUACUGCAUUGUGUGACAGCAAGGUUAGGAAUUUGCUUUAUUUUAAAGACAAUGAGGCACAAUAAAAGAGUUUCAAGUAGGGAAUGAAAGCAUUUAAUUAAUGUCACAUAAAACGGUUACAUUAGUUAUUGGGUGGAUAAUGGAAUAGUGGACGUUGAAGGGAGUCAUUGCUGUCCUUGAGUAGGGGACACUUCAUCUCCUAUGGUAAGAGCCUUGACUGAACUCCAUGACAAAAGGUAAAUUUGUAAGAAAAAAGUGUAAUAAUUUUACAUAACUGGGGGCUGGAGAAAUGGAUUGCUCUUCCAGAGUUCUUGAGUUCAAUUCUCAGCCACCACAUGGUGGCUCACAAACAUCUGUUAUAGGAUCCAAUGCCCUCUUCUGGUGUGUCUGAGGACAGCCACAGUAUACUCACACAAAUAAGUUAAAUAAAUAAAUCUUUUUUUUUUUUAAUUAACUAAAUUUUAAGACAUGGGAGACUUCAGAUCCAAAGACACAAGAGAAUUCUUACAUUUUUAUGCUUAGGUUCAGUGAUGCAUGUGCAUGAGUCUGAUAGACGUGUGAUUGGAUAAAUGGGGUAGGACCUACUGGGAUGAACUGAUGUUGAAGGUCUGCCCAGUAACUUCCUCCCUCUCAGUGUAGUGUUGCUUUGUUCAAGGUACAGGAUGGGACACUGCCAUGUGAGGGCGUCAUGAUCUAUUUCCAGGGAGGGGGUAGGCCAGGCUGCCCGUUUAUAGUCAAUUCUCAGGCAGAAAAGCUGGGAGGCAUUAAGUGUGGUGAUAUAUGCCUGUGAUCCCUGUACUCAUGAGGCAGAGGCAGAGGCAGGAGGAUUGUAGUUCAAAGCCUGGGUUCCAUAGAAAGGUCUGUGUAAGCCUUAGAGGCCAUAUCUCAUUAAAGGAAAAAAAAGGAAAGGGGUAGGGAUAAUCUCCUAUACACUGUGUGGUAGCAUCACCUGUCAAUCAAAAACUGACGGCCUAUUAGCAACAGGCAGGAAGUAGAAGGUGGGAGUUCCAAUAGAGGGACUGGAACUCUGGGAGAUAGAGGUGGGACAUUCACCCUGGACUCUGAGGAAGUUAGACGUGUCAAGUUGAGGAGAGGUAAGUAUCCUUGUGGAAAGCACGGAGUAUUUUAAAUGGGUUUUGUAAGCUACAAGCUAUUGGGAAAUAAGCUAAAGCUUAUGGCCUAGGCAUCUAUUCAUAAAUAAAAAAGGCCCCGAGUUGUUAUUCGUGAACUCGGGUGUGGGUGAAAAAGCCCCAGGGUACAGAAAAGAAGGAAGGGAAAGAGAAAAUAGAGAAAGAAAAAAAGAAGAAGCAAGAGAAGAAGAGGAGAGAGUGGCCUUUGUUUCGACUGUUUUCUUAGUUUCCAAGAGAUCAUAUUUUGGGGUAAUGUGUUCUGAGGCCUGACACACUUAGGGCAAAGCCUUUAUGGUGUGUAUAAUUUUUGUAUCAAAUUUAUGACAACAUUUUAAGUUAAUAUUUUUUUUUUUAUUUUAGACUAGAUCUCAUACCUGCAUGCAUAUAUAAAAUCUGAGAGCAAUUUUAACAUGGCCUCUCAGACACAGAGGUACAAACAUGUCCUCCUGAUUUUCACUAAAAUACGCAGCUCUAUUUUUUAAUGUUACUACUUCUUGAGCCGUUCCCAGGUGAAGAUGGGCUUUGAACUACAAUCCCCCUGCCUCAGCCUAUGGUGAAGAUACCCUAUCUCCAGUGGUGUUUGGGGCAUGAAAAGGACUGGAGGGAGUGGUGAAGCCAGGCAGCCUGCAUACAGGGCUCCCUCACCUGCAAAGCCUGUGCUCUUUUAUCAGCUUCUUCUUGUUGACUAAAUCAUUGGCUAACCCAAUUUAAGUGCCUGUCAGUAACUAAUCCUCCUUAAGCCAUCCAUUUUGUUUUAAAUGGUUUGAUUUCCUUUACUGGUUCCCUGAGUUUUAUUACUUCCAGUUAUCUGUUUUCUACUUUGAACUUUAUAUAAAACGAAACCCUUAGGCUUUCAGAAAGUUUGCCAGAGGAAUAGGGUGAACUCUCAAGCACGCCUUGCACUCAGGCGUUUGAAAGGUGAUCAUUCGCGUCAUGUGCUCGUGUGUUCUAGGCCAUUUGAGAAUGGGUUCCAUCUAUUCUUUCUCGACUCGAAAUUUUUAUUCUCUUUUUUGUUCUGAAGAGUCUUCUCUACUCAGGUACUGUGCUUCAAUCACUUUUAAAAUUGCCAGUUUGGUUGGUUUCGGGCCAACUAGCAUGACAUUUAAAGUUUCUAUCCCUUAGCAUUUAACUAGUACUUUUAAGAUUGCAUAAAUUUGUUUCCUUUUUGAAAUUUUAUAGUUAAGAGGAUUAGGAGAGCCAUGGAGUUGACCUGUCUGACCAUACUGGUCUUUGUGUACGUUUUUAUGUCUCAUUCUUCAUAAAUGCUAAAAUUAGUUACUUGGUAUUUUGUUUGGGCUUGUAUAUGUGUGUGUGUGUGUGUGUGUGUGUGUGUGUGUGUGUGUGUGUGGACAUAUAUAUAUGUUCAUUUGUGUAUGGGGUGUGUGAGAGCGUGUGCAUGCUGAGAUCAGGGGUCAACUUCACAUGUCUUCAUCAAUUCCUUCCUUAUAUGAGACAGUGUCUCUCACUGACCAGGAGUCUGUGUUUUUCUUUCCUUUGAACAAUACUUUAUCUGAUCCUGUCAUUUUAACCCAUUCUAUGCAGGUUAAACUAUUCCCUGCGCUCUUCCUAAUCAAGAAAAUUCUGAUUGUAAUUAUGGGCAGUCAGAGAAGUUGUUUUGCCACAUGGAAGGAAUGGGACCGAACUUUCUAGAGGAGUCACCUUCCAAUGGCACACUCAUUUAUGAUUUCUGUCUCCUUUAGAAGCACAGGAGUGGGAGGGACGACUGUGGAAGGAAGGCUGACGAUAAGCCCCGCCGCUUGUCCGUCAUUAGCUGAGAUCAGCAAAUGCCCAGCAUGCUACAGCGCAUGGCAGGUCUGUGUGGUACCCAGUCUCUCUGGGAAGCUACAAAUGAAGAAACUGAGGCUUAGAUCAAUUGUCCCAAAGUGGAGGAUCUGGGAUUCAAGUCCAUGUCUUUGAGUCCCUUGUUCUAUGACCUGUAGUUGCUUCUGUAUGGUCUCUUGGCUCCAUCCUGUUUCCAUAUUUGAAAAGAAGGCCUUCUGUUCUCUUUCAGAACUAUCAAAGAAAAGACAGACUCAUUUCACCUUGAGCAAAGUCCAGCAAGGGAAUGGGACAGUCUCAGCCAAUAAAAAAAAUGUAAUCCUGGCAAGAGAUGAUCAGCUCUGCUCACCCCUCAUCUGAAGACUGUCCUUUUCGUGCUCAGUGGUAGACUUUCACGCUGGUGAUUGGCAAGGAACCUCAGAGAGAGGUGGGGCCAGCUGCAAAGAACUCUGGGAGGCCGGAGAUGAAUGGCCGCACAGAUUCCACAGAGAGGGUCUGCGCGCUGGCAGCUGGUGGCCAAAGGCUGCCGUCUGGCCAGGAAGGAAGGCCACUGGGCAAGCCCCGGUCUCCAGGUACCCCCUGGUAUCUUGGCUCCCUGCACCUCCCAGGAUGAGGCAGCUGCUGCCACUUCUCUUGCCAGGAGGUCAGAGCCAGGCUCCCCCAAAGCCAGUGACAUGUUCUCACGGUGAGCAUUUGGGGAUGAGUAAACGCUAGCCAUAAGCGGAGCAAGUCUAAUGUCUGCAGGUCAGAAGACUGGAAGUAUGAAUGGAAGAACAGAUGUGAAUUAAAUGCUUAUUUGAAGGAAGGAAAGGGAUUAUGACAAAUGCACGUGUUCAGUGUAAUUCAGAAAUACCGUGUGUGGGGCUGUGUAUGAUUGCUGCACUGGUAAAGUGCUUGCCGCAUAUGCAUGAAAACCUGAGUCCAAGUCCCCAGCCCUUAUUUAAAAACAAAAACAAAACCCCAGAACCAAAAGUCUGAAUACCAGCGAGUGUGUAAUGUCAGCCCUGAGCAGGCAGACAGGCAGUCCCUGGCACUUACUGUCCUGCCAGCCGAGGUGAGUGGCAAGUUCCAAGUUCCAUGAGAGAUGUUUUCUGGGGGUGGGAUUGGGGACAAAAAGUUGAGGAAGACACCUGGCCAGCCUCUGGCCUCCACAUGCAUGUGCACAGGUACAUGCUCAGCACAAACACCUACAAUGAGUGAACAAGUGUGCGUGUUCUAACUAGCUGUACCACGGUGUUAUUUUCUUUGCCUUACCUGUGUGUGCUUCCCACCUGAGAAGCCCUCCAGCCCUGCAGUUCGUCCCUUGCCGGAGACUCUGAACAGAAGCUCUGCGAGCAGUCUCUGUGCCUCAGUGACUAGCAGAAACUGUGAUAUAAAGACAUUGCUUCCCGCACACUGGAAGUCCCAGGGUACUAACCGCCGUGUUCAGCUGUCUUUGGGCCAAAUGCACUUUGUCAGUCUUCACUCACAGGCGCCAGAUGUGGGAAAGAGAAGAAGUUGAAGUCCGAGCCACCAGCUGGUCAUCUGGACUACCGUUAGAACGUUUAACAAGACAAUUUUCUCAGAACCAUCUGAGCGUGUGAACAAGCAUGCAGGGCCUUUCCCAGCCUCGGGAAGGGGAGUACAAACAAGUCCUUUAUACGUAGAAUUUUAAGAUUGAUAUCAAUUAGCCAUGUGGUUCACUUGUCCCCAUCAGUACCUGCAGAUCUAGCUCUAAUAGAAUCCGUCUAAUAGCCUCCCAACUGUCUUCGGGGAGCAAUCCCCUAGGCCUCACUGGGACACUUCCUCGUUGUUUGAGAUAGGAUCUCAUCAUGUAACUCUAGCUGGUUUGGAACUCAUUGUGUAGAUCAGGCUAGCCUUGAACUCUGAGAGAUCUGCCUGUUUCUGCCUCCUGAGGUUUGAGAUUCAAAGCAUGUGACACCAUGGCCAGCCCACAGUAGGACAUCUUUAACCUUACUCUGCACUCACUAUUCAGGAUGCCUUCAGGAUGUCCACGUCAAUGUGAUAGCAUCAGUCGGUCACUAGCUCCCCACUGUUCUCUAAAUAUGCCCCUCCCCCACACCACAUGAGCCCAAGAAUGGGACACCAGGCCUGACACCAAAAUUAACCAGCUUAUUAGAGAGAGAGAGAGACAGACAAAAGGAGGGGAAGAGAGAGAGGCAGGGGGAGGGAGAGAGAAAGGUACCCUCCCCCACAACUGUCCUUUGGGUCAGUCACAGAGCCUGUUCCACUGAAAUGGGUUUUUUUGGUCAUGCCUACAAAGGCCUUUCCCAUAGUGCCUUGCAACUAUCCACCCUUAACACCCUUACCCACAAUCCCCUGUGGGGCCAGGGAGCCGUGAGAUGGGGAAGCAGUCCCAAGGCAAGAGUGGGGUCGAGGUAUGUCAGGCACACAUAGCCCUGUACUGCCACCAGAGGCAGUCACAUAGCCUGGUAGCCUGUUUAAGCUGCCUGUCUCCUUAUAAGGUCAUGUCUAGCAGCACCUGGAAUUCCUCCUUAUGCGAAUGAGGCAUCCCUAGCACCCUGGUCCCAGCCAAUGAUGUACACUCACUCCAAAAGCCCCUAUUUAUGCCCCAAAGGGUUAAAUAGCCUUUGUUCCCCCAUUAAAUUGAGCUGUCUCACUGAAGCUGCCUCCUGAGCAUCUUACCACCACCACCCGAGGUUUCUUAGCUCGAGCCAGUCCCCCUCUUCCUGUCAGGAUCUACCUGCUGUGAUGGCAGGCCACAGGCCUGUGAGAGAAGAAGCAGAAUCUGAUAGCAAGCCAAAUAGGCAUGCAGAGUGUUGUUCAGUAAGUGUGUGCAGUGAGUGGCAUUGAGUCCUGUUAGGGUGACUGUUGGCCAUAGUCUCUCAGAUCUGAUGGUAAAUCCACUCCUUUACUUGUCUGAUGAGCCCAAGCUUCAGACUUCUUCCUCUGUCCCACGAAUUCUCUAAUGAGCAUUGAUAGGAGGUAGGGAGCUAACGUUUGCACUUUCUGGUUAUACCUUUCCACCAUCAACUGGUAAUUUUCAUAUGAGAGCUACAAUACCAAGGAUAAGCCCUCCUGAGGUGGGGGACUGAGGACAGAGUGGGCACCCAUCCUAACAGAGUGGAUUUCCUCCUAUAUAGUGUAGAGAGAGUUUUGGUUUGUUUAAAACCAAGUUAUGUGAGUAUGUUUUUGUGUUAAGGUUCCCAGGUGUGGGAUAUGGGGCUACUUCAGAUUGCCCAUAGCAGCUGACUAUGAUUUGUCCCGUGCUCUGGCCGGGGCGCGAUUCAGCCCGAUGAAAAUAGUUAAUGAAUUCCAGAGAUUCUUGAGAGUGUAUAAAAAUGCCAGAGACCUGAGAGGUUGCAGUGGCUGCUCCCCUGCUGCUGCUGCUUUUGUUGUUGCUGCUGCUUACUGGUUGGAGACACCCUGACAGUGAAGAUUGGACUUGCCCCAAGGAACUCGAUACCUCUGAUCAGCAGGAAGCAGUCUUAUGGUUUCCUCUCUACCCAGUGUUGGGGAUUUGGAAGGGAUAAGGAUGGAGAAGGAAAAGAACCUAAUAAAGUAACCAAAAAGGCAUGGA